rfam:Myotis lucifugus cont2.31791, whole genome shotgun sequence.
GGUGGGGGGGGGGGCUCCCUCAGCCUGGAUUGCGAGAGGGUGCAAGCCAGGCUGAGGGACACCACCAGUGCACA